rnacentral:rRNA from 1 species
UACGUAGGGUGCAAGCGUUUGUCCGGAAUUAUUGGGCGUAAAGAGCUCGUAGGCGGUUUGUCGCGUCUGCUGUGAAAACCCGAGGCUCAACCUCGGGCCUGCAGUGGGUACGGGCAGACUAGAGUGCGGUAGGGGAGAUUGGAAUUCCUGGUGUAGCGGUGAAAUGCGCAGAUAUCAGGAGGAACACCGGUGGCGAAGGCGGUUCUCUGGCCCGAUACUGACGCUGAGGAGCGAAAGCGUGGGGAGCGAACAGG